UCCCCGCACAGAGCUCUGACAGCCGGGUCUGUCACCGCAGCGUCCUCCCAUCUGAGCGGGGCCGAAAGGCGGACCGGGGCUGCAGGCGGAGCGGAGCGGAGCGCUCACUGACCUCAGGCCCGACGACGCACAACUACUCCUGGUCGUUUCUUGUCUCAGAGGCGCGAACUUUGGGCUACGGUAGUCCGGCCCAAGUCUUUUAACCUCUUGGGACGUUUUAAAGGAACUGAACGGGACAAAAACAACAACUCUGAAGACUUAAAAAUUCUUCCUUUGCGAUUUUUUUUCUGCGUCUACAGGAACAAGAAUGCCUCUAUAGCAUCUUUUUUUAUUAUUUUUAAUGGAAAGCUCUAAAUAUUCACACUUUAUUUCCAUGUAUCUAAAGGUUGGGGGAAUCUUAUAGCCCAAAUAUUAGUGGAUAAUCAGUGAAUGCAUGACUUCGGAUCGUCUCGCGCCGGAAUCUCUAAUUGGACUCAUCAUCCCGUCCCUCUCGCGAUGCAGCAGGAGCGCCUGGUGAAGGUGCUGGUCAUCGGCGACCUGGGUGUGGGCAAGACGUCCAUCAUAAAGCGGUACGUCCACCAGGUGUACUCCCAGCACUACAGGGCCACCAUCGGGGUGGACUUUGCCCUCAAAGUGCUCAACUGGGAUCACAAGACGGUGGUGCGGCUGCAGCUGUGGGACAUCGCUGGACAAGAACGCUAUGGGAACAUGACCCGUGUGUACUACAGAGAAGCAUUGGGGGCCCUUGUUGUCUUCGACAUGACCAGGUUGGCCACGUUUCAGGCUGUCCUGAAGUGGAAACGAGACCUGGACUCAAAAGUCACUCUGAGCAAUGGGAAGCCCGUUCCAGCCGUUCUGCUAGCCAAUAAGUGUGACCAACGUCAACUCGGUCUGUGUCCCAAACUUCCAAAGCUGGAGAAGUUCUCCCAAGACCACGGCUUUGUUGGCUGGUUCGAAACAUCUGCUAAGGAUGACACCAACAUCGACAGUGCCAUCACGUGUUUGGUUAAAGCGAUCACGUCUGCGGAGGAGGAGAAAGCGUCGCGUGACGCCGCUCCAAGCGAGUCCGACGGCGGAGUCAUCGUUCUGCCUCGUUUCGACCACAGCGCCAAGGAGAAGGGACUCAACGGCUGCGCCGGGUGCACCUCCACCAAACCCAGACCCGGAGCCAGCGACUGAUGCAGAUCCACUAAUAUCAUGGAGCGAUGACUUCAAGUCUUCCACUUUCUAACAUUUAGAAGUUUCCCUAACUCUCUGACGGUUUUUUGGAAAACUCUAUUGGAGAUGUUUUCUGACAUUUUUGCUUUUCCUCCAAGUCUCUCUCUCUCUCUUUUUUUUUUUAACAAACUGGGUAUUGUAUGUUUUUUUUAAGACCAAUUUAAGACUGACUUCAGUAACUUCAAAAGCAUUUUCAUGUGGCUGCUGUGUUGGGAAAGAGUUUUGAGACAAAAUGAGGCACGAGGGCAGCAUUCUUCUCAGAAAGAUGAUUGUUAAAAGCACAUCAGCAGUUGUGAGACUUUUCUCUCUCCUGUCUUAAAGUCUUUUCUUACAAAGCAUUUUUUAAUUGUCCUAAAUGUUUGUCUCUGGAAGCUAAUUUCUCUGUGUAUUUUGGAGUGAUUUAUUUAUAUUUUACAUCAGUUAAUUAUUAGACAAAACUCUGUCAUGUUUUACUCUGUUCUGUCUGCGUAAAAGCACAAACUUUCUGUUUUAAUGAUGCCUGUUGUUUUUGUCCUGGAACAGAAAAUCUUUUCCUUUCUUUUCUUUAAUGAUGCAUAAAUUAACUACCACCCAGAGCACACGUCUUCGGAAGCAAUGAGACCUAAACACAUGGCGAUGCUAGGAGGAAACCUUCCACAAUGGCUCUUAAUUUGGCCGAAUCAGCAACUUUUUAAAAAUACAGACAUAGCAAAUGCAGAUUUGAGCAGUUUUGGAAUAAACAUUGCAUUAAACUUCCACAAAAGAAUAAUACAAGUAUCAUAAAAAAAAGUAUCAAUCCUCUUUUUGUAAAUUCCUUUAAAAAUGACCACAAAUUCCCCACAGUAGAUAUUCAAGUUGCCUUUUCACAAAAGCUUACAUAACAUUUGCAACUCUAAAUAAGUUUUAUUUUGUUGGACUGAGGGCAAAAACAGCUAUUUGGCUUCUAAAGGUUGCAGACUCUUGGCUCAAGGCGUAUCUGUGUGAUAAAAUGACCAAUUCCUAAAUCUAACAUUAGAAUCCGUUCCAAUCCUCGAAUGUUGCUCUUUAAAUAUCCUCUGUAUCCGGUCUGACUGAGGUAAUUUGCAAAGAAGAAUCUAAAUAAUUUCAGUUUCUAAAUGUAGAAAGCUGGUAAAGAAAAAAACACUGAAAGCUCUCUGGCUGUAAUAGCUCUAUUUCCUGAUAGUCCUCCAGAUUCUUUUAGAAUUUGACAAACUAGGAUUUGCCGGAUCAGUCUUAGGUUCUCCAUUUUCUGUCGUUAUCAGUCACCGUCUCUCCGGGUGACGGUCUGCAAACGGGACACGUCGCUCUUUGUUCAGGUGUGGAUGUUUGGCCUUCUCUGUGAAGACGACUUGUAUCCUGGACGCUAAUGAAAGGCCCCCCUUUCCGGCUCUUUUUCGCCACUUUUCACGAGGUUAAAUGUCAUCGUCUGGGAAAUCUCUCCUUUAAAUGACAUUUUCCAUCUCAGAUGUUUCUCCGUAUUUUCCGUGAGCUCCAGCUUUUCGUUUCCCACAUCCUGCUGCAUGUGUCAGCAGCUGGGAGCUUCGGAGUCAGUCCUCUAAUGGACCCAGUACAGCAUGAGGAUGGCUGCAUCUGGAAGGUUUAUCACCUGUUUGCUGCUGAUGCUACACUCCACUAGAGGUUAGUGUUCGGUUUGUCACUAUAGAACAACCUGACUCUGAGUCCCUCAGCUUCGUUUCAAACAUCUUUUUGUGUUGCCUGACGGUAAGUUCACCGGGUUAACGAACCGUAAAAGUAAUAAACGGCUGAGAAAAAUUGGGCUUCUAUACUCCACAUGAUGCUUGUCAGGGCUUUUUGUACCAUCUAAAUGCCACUAGAGGGAGGUAUUUGCGUUUUCUUUCUCUUCUGGUUCAAACGCCAAGUCUCUCUUUCACCUUGUUUCUGUGUCUGUCCUAGCACAGGCAGCUUCUAUUAUCAUCUCACACCUUCACACCUUCCUUCACACAGAUUUCUGAUUCUUCCAUGGCUUUUUCCCCCCUCAUAAGUCGGGUUGUUUUCUUUCCUCUUUCUCUUUCCCUCUGUCUCUUUCUUCCUGUAGCCCAGAAUCCCUCUGAGGACUCCUCUACCUCCUCCGACAUCUUGCUCAGCCCUCAGAGCCUCGUCAGCCUCUUGCUCCUGGCCCUGACUGUCACCUUGUCUGGCACCGUCUACCUGUGGAUCCUCAGAUACGUGUGCAUCGGCUGCUGCCAGCCCGUCAUAGUCGGCCCGGAGUCUGAGGCUCUGGCAGUGAUGGUGUGAAGACGUCAAGUCGUAAUUAGAUCCUGGGAGUUAUUAACAUGCUUUUUUUCUAAUUGUACAUUUUAAUUUGCUUUGUUCGUGAGAACAGAGGAACGGUGAAGGUGGUAGGGGGAUGUGGCUCACCACCCAGGGGGUGGCUGUAGUUGGAGAAACUGAGUUUUUUUUGUGAAAAGUGUACUUACUAAAUCACACAAAAGUGCAAAUUGAGAUUUAUGAAGUUGACGUUGGGGCCUUUGACAGAGAGGCUUGCCUGGGGCUACAUUAAUUCAAGUGAUGCCAAGGUAAUCAGAAUGACACUAAAUAUGCCUGUGAUUAACAGCAUAGCUAUAUUCACUGUGUGCUAAGCCAAGUAUUUGUUACAGAGAUGGAGAUCCAGAAAAUAAAAUGUGACAGUCUUCAUUCAGUACUUCAAGUUGGCCUCCUGACCUCUAGUCAAAGAAACCCUUUGAAUUUUAUACCUAUUUUUUUAUGUUUAACUUCCAGAGCAGUUCACGAUGUUGAAAAUGUACAGGAUUCUGAGUUGCUGGUAUUUUUUUACUUCCUUUAAAGGGGCAGUAUUUUGUGUUUUUCAGACACAUAGUGCCACUUUAUAGCAUAACGAAGUAACUGAACUUCAGUUGUAAUAAAAUGCUGUUGAGUCAAAUGUGACUUAAAAGAAAUUUUGCUUCCCAAUUUAACGCCUUGAAAUUGUGCCACUGUCUCUUUAAAACUUCUGCUCUUUCUGAAACUCCAGUACACUUCAUUAAGUCGUCGCGACGUCGUUCCUCCAUUAACCCUUUAACAGCGUUUUUACCAGCGUUGCUCUGAGAAGUAGCUCGUAUAAUGAGCUCAGCAUUUCAGAUGCGCAGUUCGUAUGUUUAUGAUAAGGAAAUCACAUUACAGCAUGAGGUAAAGCUCAAACAAAGUCAGUUUUACAUAAUACUGCCCCUUUAGAAGCAUGAGAGGGUCUGGUUUAGUUUUAGGGUCCAGUUUAAAGCCAGUGUGUUUUAGCUAAUUCUGGAGAUACCAUUUACACUGCAUAGCAAGUUUGAGGAAACGAACCAAAUUUGGUCAUCUGUGGUAUUUAGAUUCAUGUAACUAAUAUUUUUUUUACCUUUUGUUGCAUUAAGCCGCUUUAGCUAACAUGUUAGCAAACAUUUGUCUGUUUUAAAAUUAAGCACACAAAACCCAAUGCUAUUAUUCAUUAGUGUCAUGAUAGUGACUACUGAGUUGUUUGUUUAAUUCAGUAUUGGCGCUAUUGAUGCCAAUUAAUCUGGUUUCUGUCACACACAAAAAAAAGCAACCAGCUAAUCUGCUAGUUGCUAACUUUUCCUAACUUGACCUGAGAGGUGAUAUCUGUCCAAAGAUAAUACGAUUUAGAAGUAGAAGAAAUGCAGUAAUGUAGGGCAAGAUUUUAGGGUCCCUCUGGUACUGAAAGCCCAAAAAUAAACCAUAAGUGUGGAAAUUAGUUGAAUAAUAAGCUAACAGUUAGCUAAAAAGAGCUGAAACGCGCAAGAAUUGAGGUAAUCUUCUUACAAUGAGUCACACAAGCAUGCAGAUAUGUUUUAAAAAAUUAUUUGUAAUGUUGAAAUUGAAAGGCUUCUUUUUUUUUGUUCAAAUCUAAGUCAUUUGAGACCAGGCAUUUGUCUGUGCCAAGUCCAGUCCAAUACUGUUUAAAUAGAAUUAAAUUAGCGCCAUGGAUUUUGUUGGUGAACUAUAGAACUUUAAAUUGCAGUGACAGUACACACACCAUUUUGUCAUUAUUAUGUGGUCCACAUUAUCAGUGGGAUUGUGUCCUGACUCACUCACCACUGACAUUCUGAAUUUUAAAAAUUGUCCAAAAUAUGCAUAACUUGGUGGAUAAUUAUUAUUACCUAAUAAUUGGUUUUAAAUCAAAACUUGCAAAUUAAUGAUACCAGUUGAAUAAACUAGUUGUUUAUAUAGGUGAAAGUAUAAUAAUUAAGGACUCAAUUAUCCUCUCAGUCAUAUUUUUUAAAAUGAGAGUACUGUUAUUGUGGUCUACUCUAUAACCAAUUUGUUAUUUGUAUUAUAAUGCAAUAAUUUGUAUUAUAAUGCAAUAAUUUAAUGAAACAAAUGCAAGUCUUUGUUUAAAUAUAAUAAACACCAGAUCAAGGUGGUGCUGUAAAGAGUUCUGUAGUCCAACUCUGUUUACAUCUUUUACAACGUCCCACAUUUCAUUCAUAAAUAAAUGAAAUGUCUGUCCAGCCUCUGCCUUUGGAUGAGUAGAAAAAUAAUAUUUCAGAUGCCUGAAUGAUGGACUGAGGGUAUCUGUUAGAAACCGACUGUCAAAUCUACAUUUUAACAGAUCGCUCUCAUAAUUCAGCAGCGCCACGUUUCCUGAAAUCUGGCAGAAUGAAUAAGUGAUCUGAGAGAAUUUCGAGCAGCCUCCCGGCUUAACGGCGGCCCCAUUUGAUAUUUUAGCCCACAAUUAGUCAUGCAUCCACAAAAUCUACAGCUUCUCCAUCAUAUGUGUGCUUUCUGAGGGACUCAUCUUUGGAGCAGUAACCUCCAUAAAUCAUGCUCUUGGUUCUUUGCAUCCACAGCCCCUGUUGAGUCCCACCUUUUUUUAAGGCUCAGACUGAUGUCGAAGUCUUCAAUUCGCUCCGACAUCGCUCUGAUCUGACUGACAGGCUGGACUCUGCAGCGGCCACUCUCAGGCAAAGUGAUAUAUGUAUUGUAAGAGACGGAUAACGAGCACGUGUGUCUUGUGUUACGAGACUAUGAGAUCAGAUCAGGUUUGACGAGAACAGUAUCUCGUCCUGUUAUAUCCAGUUUGUCAUAAAACAAAAAUAUUGUAGGGUAAAAAACAGAAAACCCUUUUAGCAUGUCUGGACACCCUGAAUGCCUCGAAAUAAUAUGAAUAAAGAAGAAUUUCACAUGUUUUUAUUUCUAUAAUGUCAAACUUUAAGAGCUUGUGUGAAGCUGCUUGUUUUAUAUCCUUACUUAUACCGUACUGUAUCACUGUAAUUCUUAUGGUAAUUAAGUAUUUUUGAUGAACUGUGUAAAUAAAAAUCAUUAAAAUGGCUCAAACACUA